rnacentral:rRNA from 1 species
AGUGAACGCUGGCGGUAGGCCUAACACAUGCAAGUCGAACGGCAGCACAGUAAGAGCUUGCUCUUACGGGUGGCGAGUGGCGGACGGGUGAGGAAUACAUCGGAAUCUACUUUUUCGUGGGGGAUAACGUAGGGAAACUUACGCUAAUACCGCAUACGACCUACGGGUGAAAGCAGGGGAUCUUCGGACCUUGCGCGAUUGAAUGAGCCGAUGUCGGAUUAGCUAGUUGGCGGGGUAAAGGCCCACCAAGGCGACGAUCCGUAGCUGGUCUGAGAGGAUGAUCAGCCACACUGGAACUGAGACACGGUCCAGACUCCUACGGGAGGCAGCAGUGGGGAAUAUUGGACAAUGGGCGCAGGCCUGAUCCAGCCAUACCGCGUGGGUGAAGAAGGCCUUCGGGUUGUAAAGCCCUUUUGUUGGGAAAGAAAAGCAGCAGGUUAAUACCCCGCUGUUCUGACGGUACCCAAAGAAUAAGCACCGGCUAACUUCGCG